GGCCCGAGAUGGGGCAGUGGAGGGGGAUACUUGCGCUCAGCCACAGAAGGAUAAGUGGUUAGAAAGACAUCUUAGACUACACAUACCCAACAUCCAUGAUAUUGUAGCUGAAUGACUUUUGGAGCUGAUCAGGAACAGAGUAUUUCUUCAGUUCAUCACGCAUGGAAAGCAUUCACUUGAUAUUUUAGGAAUUGUCUCAUAUAUUCCAUCUGGAGAAUCCCUGGGUAAUUUUAUGCUAAAUGGUUGAAUUCCCUCAGGGCAAGAAGUAAGAUGUUUUCAAUUGCUUGAUGAGGAAGAACGGAGUAGAAAGAAGGAAAAAAUUUCCGGAGAAAAGAAGAGAUGGCAAAGCACAGAGCAGUGUUUAAAGAAGCAGAAAAGAAGUUGAAACUGCCAAAAUGGUGUAAGAUACUGAGAACUAAGCUACAUCUUCAUGAAAGUAACAGUGGCAGAAUUUGUUUUUAUGGUAAUAAACCAAGAAUUGAAUUCCUUCCUUGAUUGCUCCAGCUGACCAAUUCAGACCUUGUUAUCUGAAUACGAUGUUUCCAUCUCAAAUAUUCUGAGUAAAUGGGGCUUAGACGCAACUUAAAAUUCUUGGAAGCGAAAAUAUCUUGUUAUUUCCUACAUAGACUACAGAUACUAAUAAUUUAAAUUCAUAAAAAUAUGCAGGUGCUUGUAUGAAAAAGGAGACAUUUUGAUUCCUUGGUCUCUACUUUGCUUAAUUGGAUUUUCCUGAGCAUUUUAAAUCGGCUGAGACUUUUGAUCUACUGAACAUCCAUCGUCACUUCCAAGAGCUUUCACAACAGUACAGAUCUGAAUAUUUCUCUGACAGACAUAUUUUGAAUCUAGUAACAGUUCCUUACUAAGAUAUUUUCAUCAAAAAUGUAAAACCUUAUAAAAAAAUUCAAAUGUUUUGGUUCAGUUGAGGCCCUCAGCUACAAUAAUGUCAUCUCAUGUCCAUACUGUGUGGUGGUGUUUUCAGUUGGGGGCUUUUAAUGCUACAGUGAUAGUGAUUUCAAAGAUUCCAGCUCCUUUUUAGUAGAUAACUACACUAGUCUCGAUUUUGAUCUGUCACCACCUUGCCACAUUAUGAUAUUCCAGGUUUCUUGUUUUGAGUAAA
rnacentral:lncRNA from 1 species